UACAGAGGUCUCGAGCGUUAGGCGGAAUCACUGGGCUUAAAGCGUGUGUAGGCGGCGGGCUAAGUACCUUGUGAAAUCCCACGGCUUAACUGUGGAACUGCUGGGUAUACUGGUUCGCUUGAGCGGUCUAGGGGCGAGCGGAACAAAUGGUGGAGCGGUGAAAUGCGUAGAUAUCAUUUGGAACGCCGAAGGUGAAAACAGGCUGCUGGGGUUGCGCCGACGCUGAGACACGAAAGCCAGGGGAGCAAACGGG
rnacentral:rRNA from 1 species